AACCGCGACGGCUCAUUAUAACAGCUAUGAUUUACUUGAUCUUGAACAGUUACUCGGAUAACUGUGGUAAUUCUAGAGCUAAUACGUGCACCGAAGCUACCUCUUGCGGGGUAGUGCAUUUAUUGGAGCAAAACCAAGCGGCUUCGGCCGUUUUUGCUGACUCAGAAUAACUAAGCUGAUCGUAUGGGCUUGUCCCGACGACGUGUCUUUCAAGUGUCUGCCUUAUCAACUUUCGAUGGUAGUGUACGUGACUACCAUGGUGUUGACGGGUAACGGAGGAUAAGGGUUCGACUCCGGAGAAGGGGCCUGAGAAAUGGCCACUACGUCUAAGGAUGGCAGCAGGCGCGCAAAUUACCCACUCUCGGCACGAGGAGGUAGUGACGAAAAAUAACGAGACCGUUCUCUACGAGGCCGGUCAUCGGAAUGGGUACAACUCAAACCCUUUAACGAGUAUCAAUGAGAGGGCAAGUCUGGUGCCAGCAGCCGCGGUAAUUCCAGCUCUCAAAAUGCAUAGAAUCAUUGCUGCGGUUAAAAAGCUCGUAGUUGGAUCUGUGCUGGCGACGUGGUCCACCUUAACGGGUGGUACUGCGCUCGUCGGCUUUGGGCCGGUCUUCGGUCGGUCGCCUUCACUGGUGGCUGCUCGUGGCUGGCUGGUUUACUUUGAGCAAAUCGGAGUGCUCAGCACAGGCGUAUCGCCGGAACGUUCGUGCAUGGAAUAAUAGAAAAGGAUCACGGUCCUUUUUAUUGGUUUUAAGGACUGAGAUAAUGGUUAACAGAGACGAACGGGGGCAUUCGUAUUGCUGCGUUAGAGGUGAAAUUCUUGGACCGCAGCAGACGGACUACAGCGAAAGCAUUUGCCAGCGCGUCUUCAUUAAUCAAGAACGAAAGUCAGAGGUUCGA
rnacentral:rRNA from 1 species